CGGUAAUUCCAGCUCCAAUAGCGUAUACUAAAGUUGUUGCAGUUAAAAAGCUCGUAGUUGGAUUUCUGCGGGGACGGAGCGGCCGGACGCAACUUGCGUCUCGAGCUAGCGCUUUCCCCGCAUCCUGCCGCGAACCGUGCUACCAUUAGUUUGGUGGCGCUGGGGAUCGGCUCGAUUACUUUGAGAAAAAUAGAGUGUUCAAAGCAGGCCACACGCCUUGAAUAAGUUAGCAUGGAAUAAUGACUAAGGACUUCGGUUCUAUUUUGUUGGUGUUCGGGACUGAAGUAAUGAUUGAUAGGGACAGUUGGGGCGGUCUGUAUUCCAAAGCGAGAGGUGAAAUUCUUAGACCUUCGGAAGACAAACAGCUGCGAAAGCGUUCCGCAAGGAUGUUCCCUUUGAUCAAGAACGAAAGUUGGGGGAUCGAAGACGAUCAGAUACCGUCGUAGUCUCAACUAUAAACUAUACCAGCUAGGGAUCGGCCAACGUUUAAUUAUUCGACUUGGUCGGCACCUUAUGAGAAAUCAAAGCAUCUGGGUUCCGGGGGGAGUAUGGUCGCAAGGCUGAAACUUAAAGGAAUUGACGGAAGGGCACCACCAGCCGUGGAGCCUGUGGCUUAAUUUGACUCAACACGGGAAAACUUACCAGGUCCAGACAUAGGAAGGAUUGACAGAUUGAUAGCUCUUUCUUGAUUCUGUGGGUGGUGGUGCAUGGCCGUUUUUAGUUGGUGGAGUGAUUUGUCUGCUUAAUUGCGUUAACGAACGAGACCCCAGCCUGCUAAAUAGCGCGGCCGAGCUUUGCUCGGUGCGAGCUUCUUAGAGGGACCAUGAUGCGCGAUAGCACAAGGAAGUUUGGGGCAACAACAGGUCUGUGAUGCCCUUAGAUGUUCUGGGCCGCACACGGGCUACACUGGCGCCUGCAACGAGCAUAUCAGCUGGCCCGAGAGGGUCUUGGCUAAUCUUUUGAACCGGCGCCGUGCUUGGGAUUGACCUUUGCAAUUGUUGGUCAUGCAACGAGGAAUGCCUUGUAAACGCGAGUCAUCAGCUCGCAUUGAAUACGUCCCUGCCCUUUGUACACACCGCCCGUCGCUCCUACCGAUGAAUGUUCCGAUGAAAUUUUCGGAGAGCGCCAGAGAACGGGGCUCUGCCUUGCAGAUCUGGAGGCUCAAAGUCACUUAAAUCUGAACAUUUCGAGGAAGGAGAAGUCGUAACAAGGUAACC
rnacentral:rRNA from 1 species